rnacentral:lncRNA from 1 species
CUCAAGGGGUUCUAGAUUUUAUUGUCCUUCCCACACUACUAGAAUCAUUGAGUCUGAUCGUGCCAUUUAUUUUGAGGAUGAUCACAAUGGUGGGAGUUCUGAGCCUCGCAGUCUGACAUUGAGAGAAGAACGUGUGGUUUUGCCUAUUCCAUCUUUUCCGACUUCUGCGAUGGGAUUACCACAUAUUGAUGAUUCUUCUGUUGAUCCUGAACUUCAUCAUGAUAUGGAGCCUAUGAUUGUAGAUGAUGAUGGUACUGAUGUGCCAUUGAGGAGAUCAGAGAGGAUAAGGAGACCUGCAAUUUCUGAUGAUUAUGUUGUUUACUUGCAGGAACAUGAUUUUGAUGCUGACUCAUCAUCUGAUCCUAUUACCUUUCAAGAGGCCAUCAGUUGUUCAGAAUCCUCAUCUUGGAUACAUGCGAUGCAUGAUGAGAUGGCAUCUAUGUAUCAUAAUGGGGUUUGGGAUUUAGUUGAGUUGCCAGAUGGAUACAGGCCAAUUGGUUGCAAAUGGGUUUUCAAAACCAAAAGAGAUGUCAGAGGUCAGGUAGAGAGGUACAAGGCCAGGCUUGUGGCUAAGGGUUUCAGUCAAAGAGAAGGCAUUGAUUACACUGAAACCUACUCUCCUGUUUCUACCAAAGACUCUUUUCGUAUUAUCAUGGCAUUGGUAGCUCAUUUCAAUUUAGAAUUGCAUCAGAUGGAUGUGAAGACAGCUUUUCUCAAUGGGAGCUUGUCUGAAGAUGUAUACAUGGUGCAACCUGAUGGUUUUGUUGAGUCUGGUAGAGAAAACAUGGUGUGUAAGCUUAAAAGGUCCAUUUAUGGACUUAAGCAAGCAUCCAGACAGUGGUAUUUGAAAUUUCACGAUAUUGUCACCUCUUAUGGGUUCCAAGAGAAUGCCGUUGAUCAGUGUAUAUACUUGAGAGUCGUCUGACAUUAAGAGAAGAACGUGUGGUUUUGCCUAUUCCAUCUUUUCCGACUUCUGCGAUGGGAUUACCACAUAUUGAUGAUUCUUCUGUUGAUCCUGAACUUCAUCAUAAUAUGGAGCCUAUGAUUGUAGAGGAUGAUGGUACUGAUGUGCCAUUGAGGAGAUCAGAGAGGAUCAGGAGACCUGCAAUUUCUGAUGAUUAUGUUGUUUACUUGCAGGAGCAUGAUUUUGAUGCUGACUCUUCAUCUGAUCCUAUUACCUUUCAAGAGGCCAUCAGUUGUUCAGAAUCAUCAUCUUGGAUACAUGCGAUGCAUGAUGAGAUGGCAUCUAUGUAUCAUAAUGGGGUUUGGGAUUUAGUUGAGUUACCAGAUGGAUGCAGACCAAUUGGUUGCAAAUGGGUUUUCAAAACCAAAAGAGAUGCCAGAGGUCAGGUAGAGAGGUAUAAGGCCAGGCUUGUGGCUAAGGGUUUUAGUAAAAAAGAAGGCAUUGAUUACACUGAAACCUACUCUCCUGUUUCUACCAAAGACUCUUUUCGUAUUAUCAUGGCAUUGGUAGCUCAUUUCAAUUUAGAAUUGCAUCAGAUGGAUGUGAAGACAGCUUUUCUUAAUGGGAGCUUGUCUGAAGAUGUAUACAUGGUGCAACCUGAUGGUUUUGUUGAGUCUGGUAGAGAAAACAUGGUGUGUAAGCUUAAAAGGUCCAUUUAUGGACUUAAACAGGCAUCCAGACA